GACGAACGCUGGCGGCGUGCUUAACACAUGCCAGUCGAACGGAAAGGCCCUGCUUUUGUGGGGUGCUCGAGUGGCGAACGGGUGAGUAACACGUGAGUAACCUGCCCUUGACUUUGGGAUAACUUCAGGAAACUGGGGCUAAUACCGGAUAGGAGCUCCUGCUGCAUGGUGGGGGUUGGAAAGUUUCGGCGGUUGGGGAUGGACUCGCGGCUUAUCAGCUUGUUGGUGGGGUAGUGGCUUACCAAGGCUUUGACGGGUAGCCGGCCUGAGAGGGUGACCGGCCAAAUUGGGACUGAGAUACGGCCCAGACUCCUACGGGAGGCAGCAGUGGGGAAUAUUGCACAAUGGGCGGAAGCCUGAUGCAGCAACGCCGUGUGCGGGAUGACGGCCUUCGGGUUGUAAACCGCUUUCGCCUGUGACGAAGCGUGAGUGACGGUAAUGGGUAAAGAAGCACCGGCUAACUACGUG
rnacentral:rRNA from 1 species